CAAAAACAUUUAGACUCAAUAUACUUUAUUACACGCAAUUAUAACCCAAUUAAAACCCCAAAUAUUCCUCAAACACGUUCAAAGCUUCUUCUCCGAAUGGAAAACCAAAGGCAGACUCUCCUCCUCGUCCUUACACCGGAGCUCCAUUCCGCCAUAGUCAUCACCGGAGUUGUUUUUAGAGCCUGAAAAAGAUGUCGAAUCCGCCGUUAGUCUAGUGUCACAAUAUCAAGCUAUGAUACAGACAGAUGGUUUUGAAUAUUUAAAGGAAAACUGCCCUACUAUCUUGAUUGAAAUCUUGUAGUAUGUGGCUAGAGUUAGUGAACACUUUGUCAUCCAACACCAGCGUGGAAAUGAAGCCUAAAAAUCCUGUAUUUUGGAGAACUGAAUCAGCAAAAGUCACUUCCUAGAUUUGGUUUUCUAUUUAUAUAGAUAUGGAGGGGAUAAAACCCUCAAAUGAGGAAAUUAUAUACUUUUAACUUUCUGUAGUUCUUGCUCUUUUCACAGCAAAACCUUGUAUUUUGGAGAACAACUGAAUUUAUAAAUCAUGCAAAUGGUAUGUUGCAAGUGGCAAUUGGCUUA